rnacentral:rRNA from 11 species
UGCAGGCGCGCGAAUUACCCAAUCCUGACACAGGGAGGUAGUGA